ACUAGAAGCCGAUGAAGGACGUUACUAACGACGAUAUGCUUUGGGUAGCUGUAAGUAAGCGUUGAUCCAGAGAUUUCCGAAUGGGGGAACCCAGCAUGAGUUAUGUCAUGUUAUCGACAUGUGAAUUUAUAGCAUGUCAGAAGGCAGACCCGGAGAACUGAAACAUCUUAGUACCCGGAGGAAGAGAAAGAAAAAUCGAUUCCCUGAGUAGCGGCGAGCGAAACGGGAA
rnacentral:rRNA from 1 species